UACGGAGGAUCCGAGCGUUAUCCGGAUUUAUUGGGUUUAAAGGGAGCGUAGGUGGAUUGUUAAGUCAGUUGCGAAAGUUUGCGGCUCAACCGUAAAAUUGCAGUAGAAACUGGCAGUCUUGAGUACAGUAGAGGUGGGCGGAAUUCGUGGUGUAGCGGUGAAAUGCUUAGAUAUCACGAAGAACUCCGAUUGCGAAGGCAGCUCACUGGACUGCAACUGACACUGAGGCUCGAAAGUGUGGGUAUCAAACAGG
rnacentral:rRNA from 1 species